rnacentral:lncRNA from 1 species
GUCCUCCAGCCUCGUGUCUCCUUCUCACACUCUUCGAUGAGUGCCUCUCCGCCUCCUCUUUCAGGCCAGUCCUCCAGCCCCACAUUCCAGUCCUCCAGCCCCAUAAGCGAGUCCUCCAGCCCCACACCAACGUCCUCCAGCCGCACAUCCAACUCCUGUCCCAUAAGUGAGUCCUCCAGCCCCACAACCCGGUCCUCCAGCCCCACACCGAGAGUCCUCCAGCCCCACACCGAGGUCCUCCAGCCCCAUGAGUUCUCCAGCCCCACAUCCCAGUGCUCCAGCCCCACAUCCCAGUUCCCCAGCCCCCUAAAUGAGUCCUCCAGCCCCAAGUCCUCCAGCCCCACUUCCCAGUCCUCCAGACGUACAUCCAAGUCCUCCAGCCCCGUAAGUGAAUCCUUCUGCCCCACAUCCAAGUUCAACAUCACCAUGAAUCCUCCAGCCCCACCCCGAGGUCCUCCAGCCCCACACCCAGGUCCUCCAGCCCCAUAAGUGAGUCCACCAGCCCCAUAAGUGAGUUGCCAAGAACCACCACCAGCUGUGCGUGCAGCACAGAAGCAGAAACGCAGCGGCUGGAAAAGCUUCUGCAGAAGCGCAGCCAGCUCAUUAGCUAAUUACUAACGAGGCGUCGUUUCCAA